UACGUAGGGGGCAAGCGUUGUCCGGAUUUAUUGGGCGUAAAGAGCGUGUAGGCGGCCGUACAGGUCAGCUGUGAAAACUCGAGGCUCAACCUCGAGACGCCGAUGGAAACCAUCAGACUAGAGUCCGGAAGAGGAGAGUGGAAUUCCUGGUGUAGCGGUGAAAUGCGCAGAUAUCAGGAAGAACACCCGUGGCUAAGGCGGCUCUCUAGUACGGUACUGACGCUGAGACGCGAAAGCGUGGGGAGCGAACAGG
rnacentral:rRNA from 1 species